UACGGAGGGGGCGAGCGUUAUUCGGAAUUAUUGGGCGUAAAGGGCGCGUAGGCGGCCUGAUAAGUCAAAGGUGAAAUCCCUCGGCUCAACUGAGGAAUUGCCUUUGAAACUGUCAGGCUUGAGGCCGGGAGGGGGUGGCGGAAUUCCCAGUGUAGCGGUGAAAUGCGUUGAUCUACAGAGGAACACCAAAAAAGGCGAAGGCAGUCAACUAUUCUGUUCCUGACAUUGAGGCAUGAAAGCGUGGGGAGCAAACCGG
rnacentral:rRNA from 1 species